rfam:Asian citrus Psyllid, Diaphorina citri - Florida Strain, whole genome shotgun sequence.
GCCUAGUUAGCUUAGUUGGUAGUGCGUCUGCCUUGUAAGCGCUAGGCCGCGGGUUCGAUUCCCGCCCGGGUU